ACAAAAGGCAAAAUUGCAAAAUUCACCCUCAAAGUCUCGAGGUCUUUUCACUUCAGCUCUUAAAGUUGAUGACAUUAUUGAAAAUUUUAAAAUUAAAUAUAAAUAAUAGAUUCAGGAAAAUUUUAAACUAAAGAUUAAAAAAAUGAAAAAAUAUAAAAAAUAAAAAUUAAAAAUUAUUAAAAAAUUUACGUCUCUCGAUAUCUCUUAUUUUUUAUUAAAAAAGUUCUCUUUUUCUCAUCCCUCUUUCUGUCGUUUUUUCUUCCUUCCUUCUCAAAACAAACCCUAGCCGCCGAUGCUGCGCCGCUCACCACUGCUGAACUCUGCUCCUCUCUAUCACCUUCUAACACCAUCGCCACACUAUGGCCACACCCAACCAGCCCAACGUUUCUACUAAUGCUAAGUCAGUAUGCUUAGAAUACAUGAAUGAAAGGUCUGGUUUGUUUUUAGUUUUCUACCCUCCGCUUAAGAGAAAGUGGCCAAAGGUGGCGAGUAAGAGAUGGGGUUGGAGGCCAGGGUUCAGGAAGUAUACAGUUUGGAGAUUAUCCCAAACAUUGACGGGGAUGGCCUCGUUUAUCCACCGUAGCGCCGAGAUUCCAGGGAAGUUCUCGCUCCUUUGAACCCCGGUGUGCACGUACAACGCCAAAAACGUCUUCUUUCCUAGCCUUGGAAAUAUAUGCUCUUCCAAAUACUUCUUCACAAUGUCAACGCUCAAUAACUGAGCUGAUCCACCCACGCCCCCCACGUCAAAAUACCAUCCACAACUCAAAGAUUCUUUAAACAAAAUGAUAACACUAAUAAGUCAACAAAAAAAGGGGUGGGGGCAUGGGGAUCAUUAAUUACUAGGGAAGAAUUAUCCGGUAAUACGAAGAAUCUUGUGGCCUUGUUUAUAUUUGAUGCGGAUCUUGAAAAUGUCGAGUUUGUGGAAGAGGAAUUCUCGAUUAGACUAGAAAACCUGGGAUGACAGGAUUGUUGGGGUUUG
rnacentral:lncRNA from 1 species